rnacentral:misc_RNA from 1 species
GAUGAAGAACGCAGCGAAAUGCGAUACGUAAUGUGAAUUGCAAAUUCAGUGAAUCAUCGAGUCUUUGAACGCACAUUGCGCCCCCUGGUAUUCCGGGGGGCAUGCCUGUCCGAGCGUCAUUGCUGCCCUCAAGCACGGCUUGUGUGUUGGGCCCCGUCCUCCGAUCCCGGGGGACGGGCCCGAAUGGCAGCGGCGGCACCGCGUCCGGUCCUCGAGCGUAUGGGGCUUUGUCACCCGCUCUGUAGGCCCGGCCGGCGCUUGCAGAUCAACCCAAAUUUUUAUCCAGGUUGACCUCGGAUCAGGUAGGGAUACCCGCUGAACUUAAGCAUAUCAAUAAGCGGAGA